GACAAGUAGCUCAGUGGUAGAGCUCCUAGGUGAGCGAAAGCGCCUAGCAACACGCAUCUCAACUACGAGGAGGUCACAGGUUCGAAUCCUGUCCGAUGGUUA
rnacentral:tRNA from 1 species